rnacentral:rRNA from 1 species
UACAGAGGUGGCAAGCGUUGUUCGGAUUUACUGGGCGUAAAGGGUGCGUAGGUGGUCGCCUAUGUCGGGUGUGAAAGCCCACGGCUUAACCGUGGAACGGCAUUCGAAAACUGGGUGACUUGAGUGCAGGAGGGGAGAGGCGGAAUUCUUGGUGUAGCGGUGAAAUGACGUUGAUAUCAAGAAGAACACCGGUGGCGAAGGCGGCUCUCUGGAA